rnacentral:rRNA from 1 species
CCUACGGGAGGCAGCAGUGAGGAAUAUUGGUCAAUGGGCGAGAGCCUGAACCAGCCAAGUCGCGUGAGGGAGUACUGCCCUAUGGGUUGUAAACCUCUUUUGUCGGGGAGCAAAAGCCGGACGUGUCCGGCUGUGAGAGUACCCGAAGAAAAAGCAUCGGCUAACUCCGUGCCAGCAGCCGCGGUAAUACGGAGGAUGCGAGCGUUAUCCGGAUUUACUGGGCGUAAAACGAGCGCAGGCGGGUUAACAAGUUUGGUAUGAAAGGCUUUUGCUUAACGAAAGUUUGUAUCAAAAACUGUUAAUCUAGAGUGUAGUAGAGAGUUCUGGAAUUCCAUGUGGAGCGGUGGAAUGCGUAGAUAUAUGGAAGAACACCAGUGGCGAAGGCGAGAACUUAGGCUAUCACUGACGCUUAGGCUCGAAAGUGUGGGGAGCAAAUAGGAUUAGAUACCCUUGUAGUC